UACAGGGGGGGCAAGCGUUGUUCGGAAUUACUGGGCGUAAAGGGCUCGUAGGCGGCCAACUAAGUCCGACGUGAAAUCCCAAAGCUUAACUUUGGAACUGCGUCGGAUACUGGAUGGCUUGAAUUCGGGAGAGGGAUGCAGAAUUCCAGGUGUAGCGGUGAAAUGCGUAGAUAUCGGGAGGAACACCAGUGGCGAAGGCGACUACCUGGCCUGUUUCUUGACGCUGAGGCGCGAAAGCUAGGGGAGCAAACGGG
rnacentral:rRNA from 1 species